rnacentral:rRNA from 1 species
UAGUGUAGUUAACACCUGCAUUAUUUGACGUUACCUACAGAAGAAGCACCGGCUAACUCCGUGCCAGCAGCCGCGGUAAUACGGAGGGUGCGAGCGUUAAUCGGAAUUACUGGGCGUAAAGCGCAUGCAGGCGGCCUGUUAAGUCAGAUGUGAAAGACCCGGGGCGUUAACCUCGGAAUUGCAUUUGUAAACUAGGCAGGCUAGAGUCUUGUAGAGGGGGGUAGGAAGUUUCAGGUGUAGCGGUGAAAUAGCGUAGAGAUCUGAAGGAAUACCAGUGGCGAAGGCGGCCCCCUCGGACAAAGACUGACGCUCAGAUGCGAAAGCGUGGGGAGCAAACAGGAUUAGAUACCCCUGGUAG